GAUUAACGCUGGCGGCGUGCAUAACACAUGCAAGUCGAACGAUGAAACUUUAAUGAACCCUUCGGGGAGAAUUAAAGCGGAUUAGUGGCGAACGGGUGAGUAACGCGUGAGUAACCUGCCUUACACAAGGGGAUAGCCUUUGGAAACGAAGAAUAAUACCCUAUAAAACCAUAAAAGCACAUGCAAUUAUGGUCAAAGUGAUAGCGGUGUAAGAUGGACUUGCGUCUGAUUAGCUAGUUGGUGAGAUAAAAGCCCACCAAGGCAACGAUCAGUAGCCGGCUUGAGAGAGUGUACGGCCACAUUGGGACUGAGACACGGCUCAGACUCCUACGGGAGGCAGCAGUGGGGAAUUUUGCACAAUGGGGGAAACCCUGAUGCAGCGACGCCGCGUGAUUUAGAAGGCCUUCGGGUUGUAAAAAUCUUUUGUAUAGGAAGAAAAUGACAGUACUAUACGAAUAAGGUCCGGCUAAUUACGUG
rnacentral:rRNA from 1 species